UUUCCAUAUAAAGGCGUGUGUGAAUCGGUAACAAAGUUCGCAGCGUGUAAAUUUUUGACCAGUAUGAGGUGAAUAAAAUUUCAGUAGCUCUUGAGGCUAGUGAAAAAUUUGACAAAUGCAUAGAAAAUUUUGACAA